CAGUCGCCGCGGGAAUACGGAGGGUGCAAGCGUUAAUCGGAAUUACUGGGCGUAAAGCGCACGCAGGCGGUCUGUCAAGUCAGAUGUGAAAUCCCCGGGCUUAACCUGGGAACUGCAUUUGAAACUGGCAGACUGGAGUCUUGUAGAGGGGGGUAGAAUUCCAGGUGUAGCGGUGAAAUGCGUAGAGAUCUGGAGGAAUACCGGUGGCGAAGGCGGCCCCCUGGACAAAGACUGACGCUCAGGUGCGAAAGCGUGGGGAGCAAACAGGAUUAGAUACCCGAGUAGUCCCUGUCUCUUAUAC
rnacentral:rRNA from 1 species